rnacentral:rRNA from 1 species
UACGAAGGGGGCUAGCGUUGUUCGGAUUUACUGGGCGUAAAGCGCGUGUAGGCGGGUCGUUAAGUUGGGGGUGAAAGCCCGGAGCUCAACUCCGGAAUUGCCUUCAAGACUGGCGGCCUGGACCCACGGAGAGGCAGGGGGAAUUCCGAGUGUAGAGGUGAAAUUCGUAGAUAUUCGGAGGAACACCAGUGGCGAAGGCGCCCUGCUGGACGUGUGGUGACGCUGAGACGCGAAAGCGUGGGGAGCAAAC